GGCUGGAUGGCGCAACGGUAGCGUGUGAGCCUCCUAAACGGAGGUAAAAAUAGCUCAAGGUUGAGGGUUCGAGUCCCUCUUCAGUCG